GACUCACUUGAUGGAGGACUUUCUGCCACCACUUGGGUACCUUCAUGUCUGAGUAGCUUCUCUCCAGGAAAAAAAUGUAAACACAUGAUCUUUGAAGAUAGCAUCUAUCCUGGAAUGUCAAGAGUCACUGCCUGAGGAGAAAGAGCCUGCUUGAUUCUGAAGGAAUGACUACAGCAAGAGAAGUAAAACAUCCUUUGCCUAAUUGUUGGCGAUUAAGAGGAGGGAAAAACUUCCAUGGCAACCGAGCUGGCAGGGACAGCCAGAGAGGGCUUUGAAAGGUUCUGCCUUCUCGGGUUCAAGUCCACGCAAUGAGUCAAGUACUGAGAUCCGUCAUAAUGAUUCUUGCGGUCGCUCAUCUCAGUGCUCACGAAGGGAACCAAAUUCAAUCUUUGCAGAUGGUCAGUUUUGCAAGCAGAAUCUUCCCUUUACUCCCAUUCAGAGAUUCAGAGAUGAUAGGACCCAGGACCCAGUAAGUACCAUAGUCAUGCUGGUGACCAAAUUCCCGGGAAUGAAGAAAGUCUGGAUUUACUCCCUGGAGGAUCCAAGUAAGGAUGCUUCAGAUGUGCAAAGACAAACCCCACCGUCUAAAUUGUACUGUAAAUAUUGUCAUACUGGACUCGCAUCCGCCAUCCAAAGCCCUUCAUGAUCCACGUAUAAGCAUAAUGCAGACCUCUGAGUCAGCCAAGUAUGCCGGCGGGCACAGAGUGGUCUAGCUUUAAGAGAGUUCUUCCCUGACAUGCCUUCUCCUGUGAUUCCUUCCCUGAUUCUCUGGUACCACAUUUUGAGUACGUCUCUGAGUAGACAGCUAUGUUCUCCCACUUCCUCUCCUUCAACCCUCUCAACCCUUUAUCCCUCAAAACCUCGCUUCUUGAAGUCACUUUGAGUUGACUAUAAUGGGGGAGGGGAGAGCUUG